rnacentral:rRNA from 1 species
UCGGGAAUCUUGCACAAUGGGCGAAAGCCUGAUGCAGCAACGCCGUGUGAGCGAGGAAGGUCUUCGGAUCGUAAAGCUCUGUUGUUGGGGACGAAGGGCGAAGGGUUAAUAGCCCCUAGCCUGACGGUACCCUUCGAGGAAGCCCCGGCUAACUACGUGCCAGCAGCCGCGGUAAUACGUAGGGGGCGAGCGUUGUCCGGAAUUAUUGGGCGUAAAGAGCGUGUAGGCGGCCUGGUAAGUCUGCCGUGAAACCUCGGGGCUCAACCCUGAGCGUGCGGUGGAUACUGCCAGGCUAGAGGAUGGUAGAGGCGAGUGGAAUUCCCGGUGUAGCGGUGAAAUUCGUAGAUAUUCGGAAGAACACCAGUGGCGAAGGCGGCUCACUGGCCAGACACUGACGCUGAGGUGCGAAAGCGUGGGGAGCAAACAGGAUUAGAUACCCCCGUAGUCC